UGGCUUUGUGGGCUCAAAUGAGAGAGGUCCAAGUCCAAGAUUUUUCUAUUAUAUUUUAUUUAUUUACUUAUUUAUUUAUUUUCUUUUCGUUUUUUUUUUUGCAAAACGCGUGGGCUUCGCCUAGCGAGCAUGACAGUUCAAGAAAUUCCUCUGAGCGUAGGUGAUUAUGGUGGCUUUUCUUGGGACUCGUUAGGCGACCCAUUCUGCUCGCCUAGCGAGCAUGGCAACUCAUGAACAAACUUUUGC
rnacentral:lncRNA from 1 species